GCGAGUCGAGAGGGUUCGGCCCUCGGCAGACCGCUCAGUAACACGUGGAUAACCUAACCUGAGAUGGGGGAUAAUCUCGGAAAACUGAGGAUAAUACCCCAUAGACCUUCGAUACUGGAAUGUUCAAAGGUUGAAAGUUACGGCGUCUCAGGAUGGGUCUGCGGCCUAUCAGGUUGUAGCGAGUGUAAAGGACUCACUAGCCGACGACGGGUACGGGCUGUGGGAGCAGUUGCCCGGAGAUGGACUCUGAGACACGAGUCCAGGCCCUACGGGGCGCAGCAGGCGCGAAAACUUCACAAUGCGCGCAAGCGCGAUGAGGGGAUUCCAAGUGCAUGCACUAUGUGUAUGCUGUUUACUAGUUUAAAGUGCUAGUAGAGUAAGGGCUGGGUAAGACUGGUGCCAGCCGCCGCGGUAAUACCAGCGGCCCUAGUGGUGAUCGUUAUUAUUGGGCCUAAAGCGUCCGUAGCCGGUCCGGUAAAUCUCUGGGUAAAUCGUUGGGCUUAACCCAGCGAAUUCUGGGGAGACUGCCGGACUUGGGACCGGGAGAGGUUGGAGGUACUCCAGGGGUAGGGGUGAAAUCCUGUAAUCCUUGGGGGACCACCGGUGGCGAAAGCGUCCAACCAGAACGGGUCCGACGGUAAGGGACGAAAGCCUGGGGCGCGAACCGGAUUAAAUACCCGGGUAGUCCAGGGUGUAAACGCUGUGCGCUUGGUGUUGGGGGUCCUACGAGGGCACUCAGUGCCGUAGAGAAGUCGUUAAGCGCACCGCCUGGGGAGUACGGUCGCAAGACUGAAACUUAAAGGAAUUGGCGGGGGAGCACAGCAACGGGAGGAGCGUGCGGUUUAAUUGGAUUCAACGCGGAA
rnacentral:rRNA from 1 species